rnacentral:lncRNA from 1 species
AUGAGAGCCACUGAUGUUAUGAUUGCCGGAAAGGUUUCCGUUGUCUGUGGAUAUGGAGAUGUCGGAAAGGGUUGUGCUGCUGCCCUCAAGCAAGCUGGAUCCCGCGUGGUUGUGACUGAGAUUGAUCCAAUCUGUGCCCUCCAGGCUCUUAUGGAAGGCCUUCAGGUUCUUCCCCUUGAGGAUGUUGUCGCUGAGGCCGAUAUCUUUGUUACCACCACCGGUAACAAGGACAUCAUCAUGGUUGACCACAUGAAGAAGAUGAAGAACAAUGCCAUUGUUUGCAACAUUGGUCAUUUUGACAAUGAGAUUGACAUGCAUGGUCUUGAGACAUACCCCGGAGUGAAGCGCAUCACCAUCAAGCCUCAAACCGACAGGUGGGUCUUCCCCGAGACCAAAUCCGGCAUCAUUGUGUUGGCUGAGGGCCGUCUCAUGAACUUGGGCUGUGCCACUGGACACCCCAGCUUUGUGAUGUCCUGCUCUUUCACCAACCAAGUGAUUGCUCAGCUCGAGUUGUGGAAUGAGAGGAAGUCCGGCAAGUACGAGAAGAAGGUGUAUGUCUUGCCCAAGCACCUUGAUGAGAAGGUUGCUGCCCUUCAUCUUGGAAAGCUUGGAGCUAAGCUCACCAAGCUCACCAAAGAGCAGGCUGACUACAUCAGCGUGCCGGUCGAGGGUCCAUACAAGCCAGCUGCCUACAGGUACUGAAGAGGGGUCGUCAAUGAGACGAGAAAUGAGAAAAAGAAAACUAUAUCUGGACGACGGGUUGUUUUUUGCUUUUGAUUAUUUUCACUUGUGAUGAAAUGCGGUAGAUUUUCUAGGUUUAUAAAUUUUGUAGGAGUUUGUGUCGGUGGGUUUCGGAGGGUAUGGGAUGUGUGAGGGAAAGGGAUGAUUUAGGUCUCAAUGGAAGACCUAGGGGCUUGAAUAAGGGAAUGGGACGGGGGUUGUGUGGGAUAAUUUCUGCUGCAGCAUCACUUGUGUGCUGCAUCCGGUUAUCUAUCGUUUUACUACCAAGAAAUGGAUUAAAAAAAAAAAAACUAUUUACCGUCAUUUGGAGUUUUGGUUCGAUUCGUCCUCGGUGUUACGAUUGGAUUCAUUUUGUUUGUUUUUGCGUUUGCCUAUCCGAUUGCUUUUGAUGUUUGUGAAUUUAUAAGGUUUUUUUAGCUAAAAUGAGAUUUGCAUAACACUCACUUUGGUUCCUGAGAUUGAAAAUCAAUAGAAAUGGUCAUUAGAUUGUCUACCUAAGCUCAAUGGUUGUCGGAUAUAGAUGGAAAAUAGCCUAAAAGAUGACUGGUCCGUGGGAAAAUUGUAAAUUCGUCAGAAACAGAGUAAACGUUUAUAACUUCUUCAAUAUUCAAUGAAAUUGAGUGAUUCAAAAACA